AUUGAACGCUAGCGGGAUGCUUUACACAUGCAAGUCGAACGCGUGUCGGACGUGUGAGUCAUUUAUCGGAACGUGCCCAGUAGCCGGCGAUAACUACUCGAAAGCUUGCCUAAUACCUCAUACUAUUGUAUCGGCCCAUAUCGGAUUAGCUAGUUGGUGGGGUAAAGGCUCACCAAGUCAACGAUCCGUAGCUGGUUUGAGAGGACGACCAGCCACACUGGGACUUAGACACGGCCCAGACUCCUACGGGAGGCAGCAGUGGGGAAUUUUGGACAAUGGGGGAAACCCUGAUCCAGCCAUCCCGCGUGUAUGAGAAGGCCUUCGGGUUGUAAAGUACUUUUGGCAGAGAAGCGGGAUCUGAAGAAUAAGCACCGGCUAACUACGUGCCAGCAGCCGCGGUAAUUG
rnacentral:rRNA from 1 species